rnacentral:rRNA from 1 species
GAUGAACGCUGGCGGCGUGCCUAAUACAUGCGAGUCGAGCGAACAGAUGAGGAGCUUGCUCCUCUGACGUUAGCGGCGGACGGGUGAGUAACACGUGGAUAACCUACCUAUAAGACUGGGAUAACUUCGGGAAACCGGAGCUAAUACCGGAUAAUAUAUUGAGCCGCAUGGUUCAAUAGUGAAAGACGGUUUUGCUGUCACUUAUAGAUGGAUCCGCGCCGCAUUAGCUAGUUGGUAAGGUAACGGCUUACCAAGGCAACGAUGCGUAGCCGACCUGAGAGGGUGAUCGGCCACACUGGAACUGAGACACGGUCCAGACUCCUACGGGAGGCAGCAGUAGGGAAUCUUCCGCAAUGGGCGAAAGCCUGACGGAGCAACGCCGCGUGAGUGAUGAAGGUCUUCGGAUCGUAAAACUCUGUUAUUAGGGAAGAACAAAUGUGUAAGUAACUAUGCACGUCUUGACGGUACCUAAUCAGAAAGCCACGGCUAACUACGUG